CCAGUUGCCUCCUUGCACCCUAGAGAAGCAGCAGCUCUGGCCCUGACCUGGCCUCCAUCACCUGCUCAGGUGUGGAGCUUCUGGGCAAUUUGAGCCCCCAUCACCAUGUGCUCCUCCACCUGGGCAGGACCCAGAGCCAUGCUGGGCUGCCUGGCCCUCCUCUGGGCCCUCCUGGUUCCUGGCCACCAAGAGAUCAGGCUGGUACAGCUGCCCGUGAUAGUGUCGCAUGUGGGGAACUCUGUCACCAUGCCCUGCCGGGUCAGUACGUCCGUCAGCUACAUCCAUUGGUAUCGCCAGCUGGAGGGCCAGGUCCCUGAGAGGCUCCUCUAUCUGGCCACGUCGAAGCGGGAUGUGCAGUGGGAUUCCGUCCUGCAAGGCAAUAAGGUCACCGCUAAGAAGGGCAAUGAUGACAAAAGCUGUACCCUAUCCUUGAUGAAGCUGGAGAAGGGUGAUGAGGGCCUGUAUUACUGUGCUGCCUGGGUCGGUUCAUACAACAAAAUCUUCGGUGCUGGAACAAAACUUUUCGUCGUAGACAGAAAUCUUGCUACAGACAUGACCCCCAAGCCCACAGUUUUCCUUCCUUCAAUUGCUGAGAUAGAGCACUCUAAGGUUGGAACAUACCUUUGUCUUCUGGAGAAGUUUUUCCCUAAUGUUAUUCAGGUUUAUUGGAAAGAAAAGAAUGACAACACAGUUCUGGAAUCCAUGCAAGGAAACACCGUGAAGACUGAUGACACAUACAUGAAAUUCAGCUGGCUGACUGUGAGUGAAGAGUCCAUGGGUAAAGAACACAUAUGUUUCGUCAAACAUGAGAAAAACAGAGUAGAACCUGUUCAGGAGAUUCUUUUUCCUUCAAUUAAUGAAGUUGUCUCCUCAGCUGUCAUGCCUACUGAUUCUCCAAAUGAUUGCUUGAAGGAUGAAAGUAAAGUGUCUGAUAGUGAUUCUAGAAAGGCCUGUGUAAGAAAUGAAAGUGAAGUCACUAAUUCUACAAAAGCUUGUCUGAAAGAUGAAAGCAAUUCACUGCAGCUGCAGCUCGAGAACACCUCUGCCUACUACACCUACCUCCUCCUCCUCCUCAAGAGUACCCUCUACUUCGCCAGCAUCAUCUCCUGUCUGUUUCGGAGAACAGUCUGCAGCAGUGGGAAGACCUCCUGACAGAUGAGGCCACCAAGGGCUCAACUUCGCUUCCGCAUCAUUGUCUCUACAAGUGUCUGCUGAGGAUCUAGCAGGGCUUCCUUUCUGGGUUUGGCUUCUUUCAGAGAAUGUGUACAGCUUUCUAUUAUGUCAACAUUGCGUAGGCUUUUUGAAACCACUGGGCAAACAGACCCUUGCACUGCAUAACAAGGAAUUCUGCCAUGACUCGGGGCAGGGCUGAGGGCUGGUCCACGGGAGCCUUUCCCACCACUGUCCCUCAGUGUCAUCAGCUCCUCCAGCUGCCUGAGUCCUCUUGCCUCGCGAGCACACACAGCACAGCGCACAGCUCCCCGUCCCCUCCCUCAGGGCUCCACCCAGAUCACAGCCCUGACCUUCCCUGUACACAUCUGGAGCCCCCAGCUUUGCUGCUUCAAUUCUCUUCUCUGAUUUUCAUAAUAGGCAUAAUCACAUAAAAAGAUAUCCAACCUCCA